GUCGUUGAAGCUGCAAGAUAAGAAUCAAACAUUAGUCUGAUCAGGUUGAGACUGGACCAUGUCCGACACCGUCUGCUGGCCUGGAUCUUCUCAGUUUGACUUGGCACGGCCGGAGGAGCAGGAGGCGUCAAACGCUCAGAUGAAUCAAACUCAGACAUCUCAUUCUGGUGGAGGUCACUUGAUGGAGGUCACCUGGUGGAGGUCACCUGAAGGAAAUCACCUGGUGGAGGUCACCUGAUGGAGGUCACCUGGUGGAGGUCACCUGAAGGAAAUCACCUGGUGGAGGUCACCUGGUGGAGGUCACCUGGUGGUGAGCAGCUGAACACCAGAGAUGUUUCACUUCAGUAAAAUGUUUCCAGACAGAGAAAAGAAGAAUUCACAGAUGUCAAAAUAUUGCUAAUGUUAACGACUAUUAACGGCUACUGUUAAUAUUUAAGUGAUUGAUCUUUUCUGAUUCAGUCUGUGGGAUCAAAUAAAAACCAACAGGCGUGAUGAAGAUGAGCUUAAGUCUUCUUCAUUAACAUGAAUGUUUACAGACUCCACAGUGAGCCUCUGACUGGUCCCAGGUCAGACUUGCAGGUGACAUCAUCAGCUUCGGUCACGUUUCCACAGCAACAGGCUGACAACAGCACAGUACUGAAAACAUUGAAAGACUCUGGUCUUCAUCACUGAUGAUGACGAUGAUGGUUAUGAUGAUGGUGGUGGGUGGAGUCGGCGGUGUGUGUUUGAAGUGAAGCUCGCUGCUCAUCGAUCCUUCUCGACUGAACUCUCUGGACCAAUGAGAAGAAGUCCUCCUGAACGACAUCAUCAAUGUCAGGAAGAGAACACCUCUGAUCGUCCAUCCGGUCUGACUGCAGAAAGACAGUAAUUCUUCGGCUGAAUGUUCCUCAUGAACCUACAGAGAAGAGACAGAGACUGCGACACACACAAAAGCACACAAACAGAAACACACACAGACACACACACACAAACGGAAACAAUACACGCACACACAUACCCACAGACCCUGCCUGAUGUUAUGUCAGUCGCAUGUGACUCUGUGAGGUGAUGUCAG